GAGUCGUACUUGCGGAUGAUCAGCUUUUUGAGUGUGAUUAUGUGGUUUAUGAGGAGCUUAACCGCCUUCAUGUUUUGCAUAUUCGUGCGCAUUUGGUGUACUUGUCCGUGUGGUGGGUUAACAUCAAUUUCGGUCGUCAUAAAAUGGCUGGGAGGAAUGUAGCUUCGAUCUCGUAUUGAAGUGUUAUAGCCCUUCGGUAGAUGUGGUGAUCGAGAUUGAGGAUUGCAACGGAUACCCGUUCGGGGCUACCUGUCUGGUCUCUGAUCGUUGCUC
rnacentral:rRNA from 1 species